CCUUGCCACCAUGCCACCCUGAAUGCUCCUGAUCUCAUCUGAUCAGAAGCUAAGCAGGAUCAGGCCUGGUUAGUAUUUGGUUGGGAGACCAGCAAACAUUUAAAGAGUUAACAC
ensembl:rRNA 5S_rRNA 5S ribosomal RNA